rnacentral:lncRNA from 1 species
ACAAGUUGAAUCAGCCACUGUGUCCUGCUUGGAAUUUUUCCAAGUAACUGCUCCUCCGUUUAAAGUAAAGACCCAGCCUGACUGAGAGCGGAAAUUGUCCCCAUCAGUCUGGAAGCUAGCAUCACUAUACCCUACUACUCUCAAGUCAUCACUCCCAUCGAGGGUAAGGACCCAGUCCUUAGUCCUCCGCAGGUACUUGAGAAUGUUCUUUACCGCAGUCCAGCGAUCCUUGCUAGGAUUCCCCUAAUAUCUGCUGACCAUGCUCAACGCAAAGGCCACAUCAGGACGAGUACAAGUAAUAGCAUACAUGAUCGAGCCUACAACGGAAGCAUAUAGAACUCGGAUCAUCUUUGCUAUCUCAGCCUUUUUACUCGGGCUCUGCGUCUUACUCAGUCUGGCGUUACUCUGGAUCGGUAACUCGCCUUUCUUGGAGUUCUGCAUGUUGAACCUUUUCAACACUUUAUCCACAUAGGUUCUCUUACUAAGUCCAAUUAGUCUCUUACUCUUUUCUCUCAAGAUUCUUAUCCCUAGGAUAUAAGCAGCUUCUCCAAGAUCCUUCAUAGCGAAACACUUCCCAAGGCAGGACUUCACUUCUUGUAGAGUUGGGAUGUCAUUUCCUAUGAGUAGUAUGCCAUCCACAUACAAUACCAAAAAAGCUAACUAUACUCCCACUAGCCUUGACAUAUACACAAGAUUCAUCUUUGCUCCUCGAAAAGCCAAACUCUUUGACUUUCUCAUCGAAACAAAGAUUCCAUCCGUGAGGUGCUUGUUUCAAUCCAUAGAUGGAUUUCUCAAGCUUACACACUCUAUUAGGAUACUCUGCACUGACAAAACCCUCUGGCUGACUCAUGUAAACAUCCUUAGCCAACUUCCCAUUAAGGAAAGCGGUUUUGACAUCCAUUUUCCAUAUUUCAUAGUCAUGAAAUGCAGCAAUGGCUAGCAUAACCCUAAUAGACUUAAUCUUCGCUACUGGUGAAAAGGUCUCAUUAUAAUCAACACCCGGAGUUUGAGAAAAUCCCUUUGAAACCAGUCGUGCCUUAUAAGUGUGUACAUUAUCGUCCAUGUGGGUCUUCUUCUUGAAGAUCCAUUUGCACCCGACCGUCUUACGACCUGGUACAUUGUCAACCAAAUUCCAAAAUUGAUUGUCAUACAUGGACUGUAUCUCUCUUUCAAUAGCCUCUUUCCAUUUAGCAGCCUCAGGGCCUGCCAUGGCUUCCGUGUAGCUGUUAGGUUCAUCCAGACUUACCAAUGUGCUAUCACUGAUAAGUGUAUCACCUUCCAUAGUAAUAUGGAAACCAUAGUAUUGCUUAGGUGCAUUUCUAACUCUCGUGGAACGCUCAGAGGUACAAGCUCUUAUGUCGGAUCAACAGGAGUUUCCUCCUCAGGUUGAUUGCUAGGUUUUGAGGUUCCUUCAUCACUUGACUCUUGAAUUUCUUCAAGGUCAAUUUGCCUCCCACUGUUUCCUUGCCUCAUGAACUCUCUCUCGCGAAAGACUCCUCUCCUUGCUACACCUCUCCCUUCGAGGUUCGAGUUUAUCGNGGUAAAGACCCAGCCUGACUGAGAGCGGAAAUUAUCCCUAUCAGUCUGGAAGCUAGCAUCACUAUACCCUACUACUCUCAAGUCAUCACUCCCAUCGAGGGUAAGGACCCAGUCCUUAGUCCUCCGCAGGUACUUGAGAAUGUU